rnacentral:lncRNA from 10 species
CUGUGCCUCAGCUAGGUAGACAACUUGUUGAUUGAGGAGUAUUCUCAGAGGAACUGGAAGCUAUCCAUUUCUGAAUUCCGAGCUGAAUUUCUACGUCAUCUGAGAUGAAGGUGAAGGUGUCAGUAUCCAAAGACUGGAAAUUCUAAGAGAAAUAUGUCGCUUGGAGAAAGCCCUUUAAUUUAAAAAAAACAGUAUAUAUUUUGCUAAUAGUUACAGUAAAAACAGAUAAAACCAAGAGAACAUGGCCAUCAUUGUUCAAGGCCUCAUACUCUCUGAUGCAAAAAGGGUACAUGUGCAGGAUGUGCAGGUUUGUUACAUAGGUGAACGUGUGCCAUGGUGGUUUGCUGCACCUAUCAACCCAUCACCUAGGUAAUAAGCCCAGCAUGCAUUAGUUGUAUUUCCUGAUGUUCUCCCUCCCUCUGCCCUCCCCUUGACAGGCUCCAUUGGGUGUUGUUCCCCUCCUUGUGUCCAUGUGUUGACAUUGUUCACCCUCACUUGUAAGUGAGAACAUGUGGUGUUUGAUUUUCUGUUCCUGUGUUAGUUUGCUGAGGAUAAUGGCUUCCAGCUCCAUCCCCAACCCUGCAAAGGACAUGAUCUCAUUCUUUUUUAUGGCUGCAUAGUAUUCCAUGGUGUAUAUGUACCACAUUUUCUUUAUCCAGUCUAUCACUGAUGGGCAUUUGGGUUGAUUCCAUGUCUUUGCUAUUGUGAAUAGUGCUGCAAUAUGUAUGUAUCUUUAUAUGUACCUAGUACAUCCACUUUCAAAACAACUUAAUCACCUUUUUGGAGAAGUUUUUUUCUGAUUUUCCCAAACUGCUUCCCUUUACCCUCCUGUUGAUGCUUCUUGUAGCACACAUCAUUGUAUAAUAGAAUGAUUUAUAUAAUUUAUAAUGAUAUAACAGAAUGAUUUAUGUUAGAAUGAUUCAUAUUCUAUAGAAUAGAAUAGAAUAGAAUGAUUUAUAUUCCUUUGGGUAUAUACCCAGUACUAGGACUGCUGGUUCCAAUGGUAUUUCUGGUUCUAGGUCUUUGAGGAAUCGCCACACUGUCUUCCACAUCACCCCUGACUUAAUGUUUACUUGGUCAUUAUUACUUUCAUUUUUUCCCCAAUCUGGGGCUUACAUGACUUCCUUUCCAUUGUUCUACCUGGAGGUCACUAAAAUUGGUAACCACUCUUCCACCAUCACCUUAUAAUUCACUGUCUUAGAACUACAUUUAUUCAGUUGUUCUAUUAGGUUCCCCACUCUCUUGAGACCCAGAGUCAGAUGACAUCAGGUAAAAAUGCAGGCUGUCCUUAGGGGAAACAGUAGCUAUUUUAACAAGCAGGCUAUAAUUCAAAACCACACAACAGUAUUUAAUUGCUUUUGGAUUUGACAACACUGGAAUGCAUUAAAACUUGGAGCCUCUGAAGAUAACCUUCCUAACUUCAUGCAAGAAGUCCAAGGUAUAGUUCUUAUAAAAAUCCAUCCAUAGGUUGCAUAUGUAAAAUCCUCUGAGGAAAAUGGUGGUGCUAUAAACCUUUACAUGAUGAGCUUCUUUCAGCUGUAACAAGGAUAUAAAUCAGGAAAUGCGGGCUUGGCAAAGAAAGAGUUAAGAUGAUCAAUUUCUAAGGAAUUUCAGGGAUUUUCAGAUUUCAGGCUUGGUCUUUUAUAAAGGAUCUUCUGCUGCCUACCUCCUGGUUCUCCCCUGCUAGACCUUACAUAUGCAAAGGUAGCUUUGCAUUAGCUAGCACAGUAGAGAAGGCUAAUCAGAGAUCCACAUCUCUGUUUCAGAGUUGGAGGUUGAGAUGCAAGAGUGACUCAGCUGGCAUCAGCUCUGUAGCAGUCUCAGCCUGCAGGCCUUCAGGAAGUAAGUCCUCCAGGCCUGCAUCUCCCUCUGUGGCAAAUUGCCACUAAACUCUGCUGUUUAUCAACCCAGUACCAAACACAGUAGGAUGAGUCUGCUGUUUCACUGUUUUCAACAAACCCAAAAACACAGAAGCCAGAUUACAUGAUGGGAUAGUAUUACAACAGUGUAUUAGAUACAGUAUCUCCCUUAAGAAGCUUACAGUUUAGUAAGGAAAUAAAUGUAAAUAUAGCAUUAGAGUGCAAUGAUGUGUGCUACAAGAAGCAUCGACAGGAGGGUAAAGGGAAGCAAUUCGGGAAAAUCAGAAAAAAACUUCUCUGAAAAGGUGAUGAAGUGGUUUUGAAAGUGGAUGUGCUAGGUAGAAAGUGCCAGGAAUGAAGGCAGAGGGGAAAACAUUUAUAUAGAUUAAUUAAUGGAUACAUUCACUUUAUUCAUCACAUUUGCAUUGAGUGACUUCUGUGUGCUUGCAGCAUGUGAUACGAACCAUAUAGUACAGGCAAGGUGGUGUAUAUAUAUAGGUGGAGAUAUGGUAAGAUGAGAUAAUGAUGUUGUGGGAGUAACUGGAAGUUCUCCAAUUGCUUAAAUUUUCUCAGUCAAGUAGGAAGUAAGGUCGUCUGUUGAAGGAUGUAAUUGCGGUCUGAAGAAACAUAAUAUGAUUGGCUGGUAGUAUUAAGUGCUCUCUUAAGGUUCUGACCAUCAUGAAUAUAAAGUGAGACUACUUUUUUUUUUUUUUUUUUUGAGACAGAGUCUCGCUGUGUCGCCAAAACAGGAAGGAGUGUAGUGGUGCAAUCUCGGCUAAUUGCAACCUCUGCCUCCCAGGUUCAAGCGAUUCUUAUGCCUCAGCCUCCCAAGUAGCUGGGACUACAGGUGCGUGCCACCAUGCUCAGCUAAAUUUUGUAUUUUUAGUAGAGAGCGGGUUUCACCAUGUUGGCCAGGCUGGUCUCAAACUCCUGGCCUCAAGGGAUCCACCCAAAGUGUUGGGAUUACAGGCGUGAGCCACUGCACCUGGCCAGACUAGUUACUUUGUUUUCUCCAACUUCAUUUGGCUGCAUAGGUGCAGAGCAGGUAGACAGCUGAAUUAAGCCAAGGAGGUGGUUUUGGUAAGUGAGUACAACGAAGUGAGUGAGAGGCAAGGAAGUUGAAGGUGUAUUCAAGAGAAUGCUUAUGAUUGAUCAUGGAACCUAAGUUGUAACAGGAGAGAAAAGCUGAAAUCAAGGGGGUGAGGGAGAUGGUAGGAUCAAUUUAUUGAUGGUCAUGAAAACUCUGAAUUUGUGUAGUUAUUUGACAGAAUGGGCUAGGAAGGUCAUAGGUGGUCAGAGAGAGGGAUGCAUGAAAUUGAAACUAAGAUGGUUGAUGUUUUUGGUAAAAAGAUGGGAAUCAGUAUUUAAGGAAGGUGAAAGGUAUUAACUGUUAAGUUUUUAGGGAAUCAAAAGGCCAGGUUGGUUGAAGGAUCAUUUAUGUUAAUAGUUCUCAAACUUUAGCAUGCAUUAGACUUAUAUAUGGAAAGAUAAUUAAAACACAGAUUGUGCUAGGUGCAAUGACGUAUGCCUGUAGUCCUAGCUACUUGGGAGGCUGAGGGAAGAAGAUUGCUUGAGCUCAGGGGUUUGAGACCAGUCCAGGUAACACAGUGAGACCAUCUCUAAAAAAAUGCAAAACAACACAACAAAAAAAAUACAGAUUGCAAGAUCUCACUCCUAGUUUCUGGGGUAGAGCCUGGUAAUUUUCAUUUCUAAAUUCCCUGGUGAUGCUGAUGCUGCUGUGGUCCAGGGACUGUACUUUGGAAACUACUGACCCAUGUGUAUGUUGAAAUUGCAAUUGUCAAGAAUUAAGAUAGAAGUAGUGUUAUAAAGUGACAGUGAGCCAGGACACAAAAUUGGCAAGAAAUAAAGGGGACCAGCUGCGGUGGCUCACGCUUGUAAUCCCAGCACUUUGGGAGGCCAAGGUGGGGGAUUCUUUCAGCCUAGGAGUUUGAGACCAGCUUGGGCAAUGUGGCUACCCUGUCUCUACAAAAAAAUAGCCGUGUGUGGUGGCAUGCGCCUGUAGUUCCAGCUAUUUGGGAAGCUGAGAUGGGAGGAUCUUGAUUGAGCCUGGGAGGUUGAGACUGCAGUAAGCUGUGAUCAUGCCACUAUACUCCAGCCCAGGCGACAGAGCGAGACCCUGUCUCAAAAGACAAAAAGAAAGAAAGGGGAAUGAACUGAUUAGUGGAAAAUUGCAACAAUCAGGGACAGUGGAUACACACUCUAAUAACAUGAUAUUUAAAGCUAGGUUUUAUGGGGAUUGGUUAGAAAUGGUGGCUGAAACAAUGGUUGGCAGCUAAGUGAGAUUAAGAUGAGGCAGAAGGGAGAUUGCCAAGGGCUUUGCAUGUUAGUAUUUUAUUAUAUCAGGGCCUUUUGUUUGGUAAACAGGUCUAGUGUAAGUUCCCUGCUAAGGGAUUACCUCUGGUGGAACUGUUACUGAAUUCAUCACAAGGGUGAUCACAAUCUUAUGUCCUAGUAGAAACAAAAACCACACUAAUUAGGAAAUAGUAAGUCCUACUAAACUACCUAUCACUUUACAUAAGAUUAGGGAGGUUGAUAUCUAAUGAGACAAGAAAUCUUAAAUAACUUAAUAGUAGGGCAAAGCAGGACCAAGAAUAUAUAAUACAGAAUGGAACUGUGGAAAUACAAAGCAGGAUCCACAAGCUGGUCACAGGUAGAGUCAGGGCACAGACUACAACACAGGAUCAUGACCUGGGCCCAGCUUAUGCUGCCACCACUUAUUGCUCUUGGGAUCCUAG